GGGCCGGGGCUGCCUGCUGCCCGCUCUGCGGAGCGGGGCCGCGCGGCUGUAGGGUGCUGGUGCCCACUGGCGGGUCACGGUGUGGGCUGAAGAAGUCGGGGCCGGCGGGCUGGGAGGCGGGAGCGGGAGACCGACCGAGGCCUGCGGGCAGCGCUGCCGGGCGGCGCUGGAGCAGGAGGCGGCGGGCGGGGCGGGGCGGCCGCGCUGCCCGUGAUCGCAUGCCUGGCUGCGGCCCGCCGCUGCCGCCGCGGCGCCAACCGCGCCUCUGACCGCCCGGUCGAAACGCAGCGUAUCGUGAAAAUGGCCCCGGUAAAGCCGAGCCCCUUAAAAAACCACCGGUGCAGCUGCCCUAAUUGGUGAUUUCAUCGUGAAAGGAAGAUGAGACAUCAAGCAAAGCAGCCAAGCGCUAUGAUUAUUCCCAUGUUGACAUGAACCAAAUGCAGUGUCAGCAAAAAAGAGGUGUUAUGGUCCCCUCCUUCCAGAUGCACUCUGCAGAUCAAGACCUAUAUGCUUUCAGUGAACAAUCUGAACCAUAUGGUGAAUAAAGACAUAAAUCAACAGACUGUUCGUAUGUUGGAAGAUGCUGAGCGCUGUCUGUUCCUGAUCAAUGUGUCUAAUAUAGCUUAAAAUGAAAAGGUUUUAUAUGUUGUAUUGCUAACUUGGCUGAGUUGAAAAUCUUAAUACUAUUUGCCAAUUUUAGAAGAUCAAUUCUAUACAAUGAUAAACUAAUUUGUUUUGAGUGCAAUGACUUUAAGGUCAUUUUUCUUGCUCUUUUUGAGCAAGUGUCUUCUGAAUUCAGCUUGAGUUGCAGUUAAUAUAUCUGAAGAACAGGACAUUGUAAUUAGAUAUAAAAAUUAUUGUAUUCUAAAAAAACUAGUGUAAAAAACUGUUUUUAUUCUUAAAAUGAGGGCACUGAUACCUCUACAUUCAAAAAUCCGUAAAGAUCAUAGAGGUUAACAACAACAUGCAGGAGUCUGAAAAUUAACUGAGACCAAUCUAAUGGUUCUGAACAUUCUGUUCUUGCUGGGCAUUGUUUUGUGUUCUGUUGUGGUCAGUGUGUAAUCAGCCUACCCCAUGGCAACUUGGUGUUGUAAGACCCAUUUAAAAUACUGGAAAUAAGCAUAUUUAAACACCAAGCGUGGCCAAGUAAAAUGAAAGUCUGAGUUUAGAGGUGUAUGAAAUUAAAUGUGGUUGUUUAUGUCAAUCAUGAGCUUGAUUUGUAAUCUGAAGCCCUAGUAUCCCAGAACAUGUGGAAAACUUGGAUCCAGAGGCAGAUUGUUGUCUCACCACUGCAGAUGAGGCCCAUUCCUAGUUGAGAGAAUGUUUUCUUCAUAUAUGAUCUACAUUGGUUCACAUUAAAUUUUUAUAUUUAGAUCUGAAAAAUCUGACCAAUUUAAUGGCUGAAUUUACAGGCAUUUUCCUGAUUUCCAUUUUACCAACUUAAUUUAGAAAUUAUGCAUUGCUCCAGCUUAGCUUAACUUUUGGGCCACACUUUUUCCAAACAGUUACAAAUAUUAGAAUGCGUUAGUUGAACUUAGGUGAGUUUAAAAUGUUAUAAAACUGCAGAAAAAGCAAGAUUUAGAUCGUGUUACAUUUCAUUGUCAGUAUGUUGGUUUAUAUAUCUCCAGGCAGUGAUCUCAAAAAGCCUGGGAUAUUUCAAAAUGUAAAAUAAUACAACUUACAAAGUAGUAAAACCAACCAAACAAAAGCCCAACAAAUCUAAUGUUUAAGUUUCUUCCUUAGAAUCACAGAAAUGGCAAAUAUGCAACCAUAACAUGAUAACAGCAAAUGUGAUGAGAAAUACUCCAGUUCCUCCAAAAAUAAGCUCUGAGUAUUUCAGCUUCAUUUGUUUUUCACGUUUCCAUUAGUUUGAUGUGAAUUAUGCUUUGAUGCUUUUCACAGUGUGAAAAGUUGUAAUUAAUUUUUCCUUACACUGUAGCUUUUCUUCUUUACUCAGUAACACUCAACUUGGCCAUGCCUUUCAAACACCUACAUUUUGUUUGAAAAUGCAACAAUUAUCUGUCUCCAUGUUUCACUCUCUAAUUCUGAAUAUCUCAUUCCACUGUAGUAGAAGAAUGCUUUAUUUCUAGAGAUCUUCUUUUUGUUGGUUACACUGAAUGUUCCAGAAAAAAAUGCUAAAAGCCAGAGUCCUUCUUCCUGCCAAUUUAUAUGCUAGGUGUAGAGAAAGGAAGCAGAGCAAAGUAUGCACGGCCCAUGCUGCCAUCCCACUCUGCAUGCUGCCGUCACUGCUACACCUUCCCUGGCAUUGCCUGUUCGACUGAUGCGGAACCUGCAGCUUCUUUUGUGUUAGUGACAGGAGUCCCUCCAAAAUCAGGGGAUUUGAAUGGUCACAAAGAACACACGAUUCUUAAUCUGUGUUAUGCCUGCAAUUACUACUAUCUAAGGACACCUUUGAAAUAAAACAUAUAAAGAAUGGCAGCCUCAGCCAUGGGAUUGUUGAGCACACUGCAAUCAGCCUGCGGAAGGUACCAGCCCUGACAGUAACACAAAGUCUGCAGUGAAAUCGGUUGCACCGGCUGACAAUCAACAGACACAGAUGUUUGAAAUUACUCCCUAUGACAGAUUUUAUAGAAUCCUUUCGGAUCUUUAGAUGUCCCUAACUACAGCUGCUGGAGAGGAGAGCGUAUUCUGAGGAAGCACCACAUCGGCUCAUCCUGUUCUCCGCUUCAGCAUCCAUUGCUGGCCACUGCUGAAGCCAGGGUACUCUGGCCCAACCGAACAUCACCAUUCUUAUAUCCUUGUGUUGAUACUGUAUUCAUUUUCCUUGCAGAACUCCUUCAAAUAAUAAAAUCUUUAAUACACUGUGA